ACACGCCCUUCCUAUGCGACGCGCUGGCUAUGCUUAAGACAAGAUGGCGACCGUGAGUUCCGCGUUGUGGCUCCGCAAAGCGCUGAGGCCGUCGCUGUGCGCGCGCCUGGGCCACGCGGCCAAAGCGGUGGGAGCAACAGCUGGAGGCCAGAGAGAGAGUUCAUCCUUUACAGGAAAAAUCAUUCCUCCCCCGGCCAAGUAUGGUGGUCAGCAUACGGUUACCCUGAUCCCUGGAGAUGGAAUUGGACCCGAGCUGCUGAAUCAUGUCCGCGAGGUCUUCAGGUUCAGCUGUGUGCCCGUGGACUUUGAGGUGGUCAAUGUGAACUCCUCGCGGGCUGAUGAGGAUGACAUCAACAAUGCCAUCACUGCAAUCCGCCGCAAUGGGGUCGCGCUCAAAGGGAACAUUGAGACCAACCACACCAUGCCGCCCUCAUUUAAGUCCAGGAACAACCUGAUGCGCACAAGUCUGGAUCUGUAUGCCAACAUGAUGCACUGCCAGUCCCUCCCUGGGGUGCAGACCCGCCACAAGAACAUUGACAUCAUCAUCAUCAGGGAGAACACAGAGGGCGAGUACAGCAGCCUGGAGCAUGAGAGUGUGUCAGGAGUGGUGGAGAGCCUGAAGAUAAUUACUCGGCUCAACUCCCUGCGUAUUGCCGAUUAUGCAUUCCGUCUGGCCAGGGAGAAAGGUCGCCGCAGGGUCACAGCUGUCCACAAGGCCAACAUCAUGAAGCUUGGUGACGGCUUGUUCCUUCAAUGCUGCAGGGAGGUGGCAUCCGGCUACCCUGAUAUCACCUUCGACAGCAUGAUUGUGGACAACACCACCAUGCAGCUUGUUUGUAAGCCCCAGCAGUUUGACGUGAUGGUGAUGCCCAACCUGUAUGGAAACGUGGUCAGCAAUGUGUGCGCGGGCCUGGUGGGGGGGCCAGGCCUGGUGCCGGGUGCCAACUACGGGCGGGACUACGCUAUGUUUGAAACGGCCACUAGGAACACGGGGAAAAGCAUUGCUAACAAGAACAUUGCUAACCCUACUGCUAUGCUGCUGGCCAGCUGUCUGUUGCUUGACCACCUCAAGCUGCACGAGUACGCUACUACAAUCCGAAAUGCUAUCCUCACCACGAUGAACGAGACCAGAGUACGACACAUGUUCUCAUCAGUACAAUUCAAUCACAUGUCUGCGCUGACUCUGCAGAGCUCCUCUGCUGCACACACCAGAUAUUGGGGGACAGGGCACCACCUCUGAAGUGGUUCAGUCCAUCAUGAACAUCAUCCAGAAGACCGGCCCCCGCACUGUGGCAUACUACUAAACGCAGCCUUGCGUGCUGGCGCGCGCACACACACAGAUGGGAACCAGUUCAGCUGCAGGAUGUCACCCCUCUUCUCCUGAGUCCAGCUAUUUGUGGAGUUGCGUGCUUUCAACUCUCUGUAUUUGGCAACAUCAUGCAGUGUUUGAUGCACCUUAACAGCAGUAAUCCUAAAAAUCUUGAGUGAAGUAUCUCCACUCUGUAUCUGCAUGCUUUCUGCUUUGUCUCCCCCCCCUGUUUUGUAGCAAGAAAACUUUUGCUGUAACAGAUGUGUUCCCAGCUGCUUGCUGCAGUUCUGGUUUCUCUUGCUUUUUGAGCACAGGUUUUUAUUGGUGCCCACUAGUAUAUAGAGCAGAGCCUCUCUCUUCGGGGGCUCUUUCACCCCUCUGAUGCGGAACAUAUCUAGACUGGCAAGGAAGAUGUAGCUGAACCAUAUUCUUUUACAUUGGUAAAAUGCCUAGAGUCCAAUAACUGUUGCUGGCCAAGCAGUGGAAAUGAGAUUCUUUGGGUUUGUGACCUUUCUUAUUCUCUUUUGUUGCAAACAGAACAGUUUCUGAAUUGCUGGUCAUGCACUGUAAAGCACAGAUCUGAGAUCCAUGGGUCCUGGGUUUAUGUGUAAUUUGUGCCUGUGGAUUUUUCACUUUAAAAACGAAAAAGGCCUACGGUUUGACAUUGUAUUCACAGCAUUACCUAUAAGAUCACCUGUUUCCCAGGUGCUGUUAUUUAGUGUUGUACUACACAAGCACCGCGUCUAACUGCGUAGUUCAGAUUGAGUCCUUGCUGACGGCAGCGAGGUUUUGCCACCUGAGUCGAACCCCCAGCGCUGUUCACCUGCCCAGAUUCCUGGCCCUCGCUGGUGUCCUGGUUUGCUGUCGCUGUCCAUAGGUGGGGAAACCAGUAUAUCCAGCCACAUAUUGGACAUUUGGUUAUUAGUUUUCACGCUGAAUUAAUGCAGCUGCUCAGUUUCAGGAGGUGAACGGCUCAUGUCUUGUGAAGAGCAGUGCUCCUUUCUUAUGCUACCCGACAGGUGAGGUAACGGGUUGAAAACUUUAAAUGGGUGUGAGGUUGGAAAACUGGUUCAAAGGUGGGCAAUUAGGACCCUGUGUUCUUAUGUAUGAUGGCAGCGCAAGUGGAUAAAUGAAACGGUUACUUAAAAUUUCUGCUGCUGCUUCAUGCUCUUGUUCAUGUGAAAAUAAAGUUACAAA